UACAGAGGGGGCAAGCGUUGUUCGGAAUUAUUGGGCGUAAAGGGUGCGUAGGCGGUGCGGUAAGUCUUCUGUGAAAUCUCCGGGCUCAACUCGGAGCCUGCAGGAGAAACUGCCGUGCUUGAGUAUGGGAGAGGUGAGUGGAAUUCCCAGUGUAGAGGUGAAAUUCGUAGAUAUUGGGAAGAACACCGGUGGCGAAGGCGGCUCACUGGCUCGUAACUGACGCUCAUGCACGACAGCGUGGGGAUCAAACAGG
rnacentral:rRNA from 1 species